UAUGUGAUCGUCUCUCGCAUAUCAAUAAGCGGAGGAAAAGAAACUAACAAGGAAUUCCCCUAGUAACGGCGAGUGAAGCGGGAAGAGCUCAAAUUUGAAAUCUUAAAGGGUUUCCCUUUACGAAUUGUAGUUUAAAGAAGUGUUUUCUGUUGAGGUUUUGGUAAAAGUUCUUUGGAAUAGGACAUCAUAGAGGGUGAGAAUCCCGUAUUUGACCUUUACUUUCAACUUUGUGAUACACUUUCAAAGAGUCGGAUUGUUUGGGAAUGCAGUCCAAAAUGGGUGGUAAAUUUCAUCUAAAGCUAAAUAUUGGCGAGAGACCGAUAGCGAACAAGUACCGUGAGGGAAAGAUGAAAAGAACUUUGAAAAGAGAGUUAAACAGUACGUGAAAUUGUCAAAAGGGAAGCGUUUGACACCAGUGUUGUUUUUCUGAAAAUCAAUUAAAGAACUGUUUAUGCUAAGCUGUUUAGACUUUAUCAGCUAACUGUUUAGUUUUGAGCUUUUCUUUAAUGCACUUUUCAGUUAACAAGUCAACAUCAAUUUCUUUUGCUGUAAAAAAGCUUGAGGAAGGUGGCUUGAGAUUCGUCUUAAGUGUUUAUAGCCUCUUGCCUAUGCAGUCGGAGAGAUUGAGGUCUGCAGCGUAGAUCCUUCGGGGCUAAAUGCAUUUGUGCUAAGUUAUAGCAUUUUAUAGACAACUUGUUGACUAUGAUUUGUCUUGUAGCUUACUCGCUUAUGUUAUUUUACCUACGCUUAGGAUGUUGAGUAGCGACAUACGCAC
rnacentral:rRNA from 1 species